CCCGCCGUCACACNUGGAGUCAGUUGCUCCAGAAGUCGGCGUGCCAACCGCAAGGAGGCAGCCGCCCAAGGAGUGACUGGUGACUGGGGUG
rnacentral:rRNA from 1 species